rnacentral:lncRNA from 1 species
UAGUUGUACUUAUGUUUAGUUUGCUAUUGAGAAAUAUCUGACACUACUAAAUAAAAUAAAAUUUGAAUGCAAAUAUAUAGAAAUAUAUUUCUACGUUCUCUGAUGGGACAAUAGAAAAUAUAUCGUAUCUGACUCAUCACGAUAUGCGAAAUGUAAUAUCACACAUGAAAAUAAAUAGAAUAUUUUUUCAUCAUCGCGAUAUGCAAUUCCAAACCUUAUUUGGGUCGCUUUUUAAU